CCCCUUUUUUUUUAGGGAUAGGGUCGGCUCGGCCGGAUUUUACACAGGUGUUGCAUGGCUGUCGUCAGCUCGUGUCGUGAGAUGUUGGGUUAAGUCCCGCAACGAGCGCAACCCUCAUCCUUAGUUGCCAUCAGGUAAUGCUGAGCACUUUAAGGAAACUGCCAGUGAUAAGCUGGAGGAAGAUGGGGAUGAUGUCAAGUCAUCAUGGCCUUUAUGAAGUGGGCUACACACGUGCUACAAUGGUGUCUACAGUGGGCUGCAAGGUGCGCAAGCCUAAGCUAAUCCCUAAAAGACAUCUCAGUUCGGAUUGUACUCUGCAACUCGAGUGCAUGAAGUUGGAAUCGCUAGUAAUCGUGGAUCAGCAUGCCACGGUGAAUACGUUCUCGGGUCUUGUACACACUGCCCGUCACGCCAUGGGAAUUGGUUCCUCUCAAACUU
rnacentral:rRNA from 2 species